UUGUCCUGCAGAAUUUAGGGACACGGAUGGCAGUGACCAAAUGGCAAAGUCCUUCCAGCCUGGAGAUCAGAGAGUCAGGAAGAAGCCAGAGGAAGAUGGAAGGGGAUGAUUUGGAGGAGAGCAGAGGACUGAGGUCAAGAGAGCACCAAGAAAGUCCUCAACCCGGAAUUCAGUCAGUGAGACUUGCACAACUCAUGAUGGCAGAGUCCCCGAAGAGUAGAGGUCUUGUGUCAAAACUGGUGGCUGUUUAGCCUAUAUAGUGAACUUAGAGGAUGCCUCUUCAAAAGGAAUGACACUGCGGAGGAGGUUAAGGUUUCUGUUGAUAGUUAAGGAAUAAGUUCCUGUUUGAUCUACGGUAUGUUCUGCCUACAUGUUUGCCUAUACACUACAUGUG